GACGAACGCUGGCGGCGUGCUUAACACAUGCAAGUCGAACGGAAAGGCCCUGCUUUUGUGGGGUGCUCGAGUGGCGAACGGGUGAGUAACACGUGAGUAACCUGCCCUUGACUUUGGGAUAACUUCAGGAAACUGGGGCUAAUACCGGAUAGGAGCUCCUGCUGCAUGGUGGGGGUUGGAAAGUUUCGGCGGUUGGGGAUGGACUCGCGGCUUAUCAGCUUGUUGGUGGGGUAGUGGCUUACCAAGGCUUUGACGGGUAGCCGGCCUGAGAGGGUGACCGGCCACAUUGGGACUGAGAUACGGCCCAGACUCCUACGGGAGGCAGCAGUGGGAAAUAUUGCACAAUGGGCGGAAGCCUGAUGCAGCAACGCCGCGUGCGGGAUGACGGCCUUCGGGUUGUAAACCGCUUUCGCCUGUGACGAAGCGUGAGUGACGGUAAUGGGUAGAGAAGCACCGGCUAACUACGUG
rnacentral:rRNA from 1 species